UCCAGUGUUCCGCAGGUUGAGGUAGUAGGUUGUAUAGUUCAGAGUGACACCACAGGAGAUAACUGUACAGCCUCCUAGCUUUCCCUGAGGAAACAC
rnacentral:pre_miRNA from 12 species